GUGAGGAAUCUUCCACAAUGGGCGAAAGCUGAUGGAGCAACGCCGCGUGAAGGAUGAAGGUCUUCGGAUUGUAAACUUCUUUUAUGAGUGAAGAAUAUGACGGUAACUCAUGAAUAAGCACCGGCUAACUACGUGCCAGCAGCCGCGGUCAUACGUAGGGUGCAAGCAUUAUCCGGAGUGACUGGGCGUAAAGAGUUGCGUAGGCGGUUAUGUAAGCGAAUAGUGAAACCUGGUGGCUCAACCACACAGACUAUUAUUCGAACUGCAUAACUCGAGAAUGGUAGAGGUAACUGGAAUUUCUUGUGUAGGAGUGAAAUCCGUAGAUAUAAGAAGGAACACCAAUGGCGUAGGCAGGUUACUGGGCCAUUUCUGACGCUAAGGCACGAAAGCGUGGGGAGCGAACCGGAUUAGAUACCCGGGUAGUCC
rnacentral:rRNA from 1 species